GUCCACGCCGUAAACGAUGUCGAUUUGGAGGCUGUGUCCUUGAGACGUGGCUUCCGGAGCUAACGCGUUAAAUCGACCGCCUGGGGAGUACGGCCGCAAGGUUAAACUCAAAUGAAUUGACGGGGCCCGCACAAGCGGUGGAGCAUGUGGUUUAAUUCGAUGCAACGCGAAGAACCUUACCUGGCCUUGACAUGUCUGGAAUCCUGCAGAGAUGCGGGAGUGCCUUCGGGAAUCAGAACACGGGUGCUGCAUGGCUGUCGU
rnacentral:rRNA from 1 species